rnacentral:rRNA from 1 species
UAAUACGUAGGGCGCAAGCGUUGUCCGGAAUUAUUGGGCGUAAAGAGCUCGUAGGUGGCUGGUCGCGUCUGCCGUGAAAGCCCGCAGCUUAACUGCGGGUCUGCGGUGGAUACGGGCCGGCUAGAGGUAGGUAGGGGCAAGUGGAAUUCCUGGUGUAGCGGUGAAAUGCGCAGAUAUCAGGAGGAACACCGGUGGCGAAGGCGGCUUGCUGGGCCUUACCUGACGCUGAGGAGCGAAAGCGUGGGGAGCGAACAGGAUUAGAUACCCUGGUAGUCCACGCUGUAAACGUUGGGCGCUAGGUGUGGGGGUCUUCCACGAUCUCCGUGCCGGAGCUAACGCAUUAAGCGCCCCGCCUGGGGAGUACGGCCGCAAGGCU